rnacentral:rRNA from 1 species
CCCUUAGAUGUUCUGGGCCGCACGCGCGCUACACUGAUGCAUUCAACGAGUCUAAAACCUGCUCUGAUAGGGGUGGGUAAUCUUUUGAAUGUGCAUCGCGAUUGGGAUAGAUGAUUGCAAUUUUUCAUCUUCAACGAGGAAUGCCUAGUAAACGCAAGUCAUCAGCUUGCAUUGAUUACGUCCCUGCCCUUUGUACACACCGCCCGUCGCUCCUACCGAUUGAAUGAUCCGAUGAAUAUCAUGGAUUGAGGAUGCAAGUAGGUUCACCUAUCUUCAUCUUCGAGAAGUGAAGUAAAUCUUAUCAUUUAGAGGAAGGAGAAGUCGUAACA